rnacentral:rRNA from 1 species
CCUACGGGAGGCAGCAGUGAGGAAUAUUGGUCAAUGGCCGGAAGGCUGAACCAGCCAUGCCGCGUGAAGGUCAGUGCCCUAUGGGCGUUAAACUUCUUUUGUGCGGGAGCAAUAGUGGUCACGUGUGGCCAGACGAGAGUACCGUACGAAUAAGCAUCGGGGAAAUCCGUGCCAGCAGCCGCGGUAAUACGGGGGAUGCAAGCGUUAUCCGGAUUUUUUGGGUUUAAAGGGUGCGUAGGCGGUGAGGUAAGUCAGCGGUGAAAUGCCCCCGCUCAACGGGGUGAAGUGCCAUUGAUACUGCCUGGCUGGAGUGCGGAUGCCGUGGGAGGAAUGUGUGGUGUAGCGGUGAAAUGCAUAGAUAUCACACAGAACACCGAUUGCGAAGGCAUCUCACGAAUCCGCGAUUGACGCUGAUGCACGAAAGCGUGGGUAUCAAACAGGAUUAGAUACCCCUGUAGUC